AUAAAAAUAUUGCCCUUUUGGCCAAGAUCAAGUGUAAUAUCUGUUCUUAUGAGUUUAAUAUCUGAUACGAUCCCUAUCUCUCUACGAGUAAAUGGAACGCUCA
rnacentral:snRNA from 1 species